AGCGAGGCUAGAGUCACGCCUUGACAUUGCUCUGUUGCCCUGGUGUGCUAGAGCGCUCGCAGACCAAACGUCUCUGCAUAUUCAUUGGCUGUGGUCUCCUGUGACGCAACCAAUCACCAGCUUAGACACAUGA